GUCAUAUUGUGAAAACUAUCAGGACUACGGCUUAGCCGUUUACAUGUUUAGUGGCAGCAGGGAUAGCUGAACGUUUUGAUAUAAGAUUUGCGUAGGUGGGCUUGAAAAUGAGGAAGUGGUGGCAGUUUAGAAAUCAUGUCCUGAUUUUUCAGCUUUUGGCAGCUCCCACUCUAGCUUUGCCAUUCAUUCCUAUGGGACAAAUUGCGCCACAAAA